CCCUCUCUCCCCUUCUGUUCUCUUGAUCCUUCAUCUUCGAUACAAUUUGGCUUUUUAGCUAGUUGGUACAACUCUAAUACUAAUUCAACGAACUUUGGUUAUAACUAUUGUAAUAAUUAAUAGUAAUUUCUAUAAGACCUACUAUGAUAGGACAAUGCACUAUUCAAAAUAUCGAUAUUAUUGGAAAUAAUUUUGCCUAGAAAUCACUAUGUCGUUGUCUUUAAAAUUUUUGAUUGUAUCAUAAAAGAAACAAACUAUUAAAAGUAAAUUUGAAGAUUAAAAAGAGCUUGCUCGGAUACAGAUAUGUAAGAAUACUAUCCUAAGAAUAUGAUUCACUCCUUACAUACGGAUCUUCGGUGAUCUCAUCCCCAUAGCACAACAACCCGACUUAGCUCCAUUCUCCUCUAACAAACACGAUCACUAGGAGGCGUGAUCUAGAAGACUACCUUUAGAUGCUCAGAAAGGAAAGAAAAGCAAAAAGUGAAAAGCACAAACUCAGAGUGAAAGAAGAGUCUCAAUCUCUAGGGAGGUACAGAGCAUCAAUGUUGACCAAAGGAAUAAUUUUGAUAAAUAUAAAAGAUUUGAGUAUAUGAUGAAACUAAUGGUUUGUCGAAGUAUAUGUUGAGAAGAUUUUCAAGAGGC
rnacentral:lncRNA from 1 species